UACGUAGGGUGCAAGCGUUGUCCGGAAUUAUUGGGCGUAAAGAGCUCGUAGGCGGUCUGUCGCGUCUGCUGUGAAAACUCAGGGCUCAACCCUGAGCCUGCUUCCGAUACGGGCAGACUAGAGGUAUGCAGGGGAGAAUGGAAUUCCUGGUGUAGCGGUGAAAUGCGCAGAUAUCAGGAGGAACACCGGUGGCGAAGGCGGGUCUCUGGGCCGUAACUGACGCUGAGGAGCGAAAGCAUGGGGAGCGAACAGG
rnacentral:rRNA from 1 species